rnacentral:rRNA from 1 species
UCCUGGCCUCAGAGCGAACGCUGGCGGCAGGCUUAACACAUGCAAGUCGAGCGGGCGUAGCAAUACGUCAGCGGCAGACGGGUGAGUAACACGUGGGAACGUACCUUUUGGUUCGGAACAACACAGGGAAACUUGUGCUAAUACCGGAUAAGCCCUUACGGGGAAAGAUUUAUCGCCGAAAGAUCGGCCCGCGUCUGAUUAGCUAGUUGGUGAGGUAACGGCUCACCAAGGCGACGAUCAGUAGCUGGUCUGAGAGGAUGAUCAGCCACACUGGGACUGAGACACGGCCCAGACUCCUACGGGAGGCAGCAGUGGGGAAUAUUGGACAAUGGGCGAAAGCCUGAUCCAGCCAUGCCGCGUGAGUGAUGAAGGCCCUAGGGUUGUAAAGCUCUUUUGUGCGGGAAGAUAAUGACGGUACCGCAAGAAUAAGCCCCGGCUAACUUCGUGCCAGCAGCCGCGGUAAUACGAAGGGGGCUAGCGUUGCUCGGAAUCACUGGGCGUAAAGGGUGCGUAGGCGGGUCUUUAAGUCAGGGGUGAAAUCCUGGAGCUCAACUCCAGAACUGCCUUUGAUACUGAGGAUCUUGAGUUCGGGAGAGGUGAGUGGAACUGCGAGUGUAGAGGUGAAAUUCGUAGAUAUUCGCAAGAACACCAGUGGCGAAGGCGGCUCACUGGCCCGAUACUGACGCUGAGGCACGAAAGCGUGGGGAGCAAACAGGAUUAGAUACCCUGAUAGUCCACGCCGUAAACGAUGAAUGCCAGCCGUUGGAGGGUUUACUCUCCAGUGGCGCAGUUAACGCUUUUAAGCAUUCCGCCUGGGGGAGUACGGUCGCAAGAUUAAAACUCAGACGGAAUUGACGGGGGUCCCGCACCAGCGGUGGAAGCAUGGUGGAUUAUUUCGACGCAACGCGCAAAUCCUUUACCAGUCCCUUGACAUCCCGUCGGCGGUUUCAAAAGAUGGAUUCCUUCAUUUCGCUUGACUGGGACAGGUGCUGCAUGCUGUCGUCAGCUCGGGUCGUGGGAUGUUAGGUAAGGUCCGCUACUGAGGCAACCCCCGGCCUUUUAGUUGUCUUACAGUUCAGUGGAGACUUUCUAAAGAACCUGCCGGUGUAUAAACCAAGAAGGGGGGAAGAUCGUCAAGCUCUUAGGCCUUUUAAGGGCUGUUCUUGACG